UACGAAGGGGGCUAGCGUUGUUCGGAAUCACUGGGCGUAAAGCGCACGUAGGCGGAUCUUUAAGUCAGGGGUGAAAUCCCGAGGCUCAACCUCGGAACUGCCUUUGAUACUGGGGAUCUCGAGUCCGGGAGAGGUGAGUGGAACUGCGAGUGUAGAGGUGAAAUUCGUAGAUAUUCGGAAGAACACCAGUGGCGAAGGCGGCUCACUGGCCCGGUACUGACGCUGAGGCGCGAAAGCGUGGGGAGCAAACAGG
rnacentral:rRNA from 1 species